rnacentral:lncRNA from 10 species
CCACCAUGCCCGGCUAAUUUUUUGUAUUUUCAGUAGAGAUGGGAUUUCGCUAUGUUGGCCAGGCUGGUCUCAAACUCCUGACCUCAGGUGAUCCACCCACCUCGGCCUCCCAAAGUGCUGGGGUUGCAGGUGUGCGCCACCGCGCCCGGCCACCACCUUAACCCUUUUUAAGUGCACAGGUCAGUGGUUCAAGCACAUUCGCCUUGUUGUGCAGCCAUCACCAGCAUCCAUCUCCAGAGCUGUUUUCUGUCUUCCCAAACUGAAACCCUGUCCCCUUUAAACACUCCCGAUUCCCCUCUCCCAGCCCCUGGCUAUUGUACUUUCUGUCUCUAUGAAUUUAAUUACCCUAGGAACCCCGUAUGAGUGGAAUCAUACAAUAUCUGUCCUUUAGUCUGGCUUAUUCACUCAGCAUAAUGUCCUCAGGGUUUGUCCAUAUCACAGCGGCUGGCAGAAUUUCCUUCCUCUUCGGGGCUGAAUAAUAUUCUGAUAUUCCCAACAUGCUUGUCACCUCUACAAGCCUGUGAGGCUGUGUGAGCUUCCCAGGGUCCCCAGAAUAAAAACUGGGUGGUUUACACAACUGAAACUUAAUUGCCUUACAGUUCUGGAGACUGGAGUUCGAGAUCAAGGAGUGGGAAGGGCUGGUUCCUCCUGAGGCCUCUCUCCUUAGCUUGUAGAUGCCGUCUUCUCCCUACGUCCUCACAUGGUCGUCCCUCUGUGCGUGUCUGUGUCCUAAUCUCCUCUUCUUAUAAGGACAUCAGGCAUAUUGGAUUAGGGCCCAACCUAAUAACUUCAUUUUAAUUUAAUCGUCUCUUUUAAAGACCGUAUUUCCAAAUACAGUCACACUCAGAGGAAUUAGGGGUUAGGACUUCAACAUAUGAAUUUGCGAGGGACAUAAUUCAGCCUAUAUCAGAGGCUCUUCAUUUUAUUGUUUUAUUUUACUUUUUGAGACAGGGUCUCACUUGUCACCCAGGCUGGGGUGCAGUGGUACAAUCACAGCUCACUGCAGCCCCAAUCUCCUGGGCUCAAGCGAUCCUCCCUCCUCAGCCUCCUGGGUAGCUGGGACUACAGGCGUGUGCCACCACACCCAGCUAAUUUUUUAUUUUUUGGAGAGACAGGGUCUUACUAAGUUGCCCAGGCUGGUCUCAAACUCCUGGCCUCAAGCGAUCUUCCUGCCUUGGCCUUCAAAAGUGCUGUGAUGACAGGCGUGUCCCUCACUUUAUUCUAUCACUCUCUCCCCCAUGCCUGGCCCAUCAGACCUCAGUGAAUGUCCAUUCAAUGAAUGAAUGAAGUGAUGUCAUCUCGGUAGGGUUUUCAAGGAUGAAUAGGAGUUUGCUAGGCAGAGAAGGCACAGAGGGCAUUCCAGGCUUAAAGAACAGCCUAGGCCAAGGCCUGGAAGCCUCCCAGCGGGGCUCUCUGUCUCACAGGUCACAUGCCAGACCUGGGGCAGGGAAGAGAGCUGUGGCCCCUCUCAGUCCGCAGAGGCCAGCCAACCUGCUCCCCAUGAGCUGGAGCCCAGCCAACCUCCACAAGGACCAGGACCCCAGUGCCUCUGCUCACAGGAGCUGGCUCAGAUGAUUUUCGCUAUGUCUUUUACCCUUCACGCCUGGGUGGCUUGAGCGUAUUUAUUUAACUUUCAUUGUAUUGGUGUUUUUGUUGAAAGUGCAGGAAUUAUUCAUAGCCGGUUUCGGUUCUCUUCUGGCAAUGACCGCAUCUUCCUAUGCAAGGUACAAAUUACCUGUCAGGCCAGUUCACCAUCAGUCAGGGGCUGUGACCCAGCCCCAAGCCACCGAGGCUCAGCUGCUCUGGAAGAUGGGUCUGGCUGGAGGUGGUGGGGCCUGAAUAGGUCUUUGUCCCCCAAGUUGCCAAGGAUAGGGAACAUGGAUGGGAAACAAGGGGAUUGGCCCAGGAACAAAUCCUCCCUCUGCGAUCCUGCUCAGUCUACCUGGCCACUCAGUACUCAGUCUUCUCAUCUGUAAAAUGGGCAUUGGAGUGAGUGUCUGGCAUGGCGGGCCAUCCACAUUGUCACCCACUGGUGUCACCCACUGCCUGGGUGAGCCUGGGCACAUGGGUGCCCUCUGUCACCUCCAAGGAAAGGAGACAGAGAUACUCAUAGAGAAGAGAAACUGAAAACAGAAGGGACACAGAAGGGCUUAGAGGACACGUCCUCAGCUAAUCUGGCCCCCUGGGUUGUGGUGGCAUGAGAACACAGCCCUAAAAAGUUCCUCCUAUUGAAAGAUGGGGUCAUCUGGGCACAGUGGUUCAUGCCUGUAAUCCCAGCGCUUUGCCAGGCCAAGGCAGAGGGAUCCUUUCAGCCCAGGAAUUUGAGAUCAGCCUGGGCAACAUAGCAAGAUCCCAUCUAUACAAAAAAAAAAUUAGCCAGGUAUGGUGGUGCACUCCUGUAGUCCUAGCUACUCAGGAGGCUCUCUUGUGCCCAGAGUUCGAGGCUGCAGUGAGCCAUGAUCAUGCCACUGCACUCCAGCCUAGGUGACAGAGCAAGACAUUAUCUUUAAAAAAAAAGAAAAAGAAAAAGGUGUGGUCAGCUGGGCACAGUGGUUCACACCUGUAAACCCAGCAUUCUUUGAGGCCAAGGUAGGAGGAUAGCUUGAGGCUAGAAGUUUGAGACCAGCCAGGACAACAUAGCAAGACCUUGUCUCCACAAAAACAAACAAAAAGAAUCAGCUGGGUGUGGCAGCUCACACCUGUAGUCCAGCUACUCGGGAGGCUAAGGCAGGAGGACCACUUGAGCCCAAGCAUUGGAGGCUGCAGCAAGCUAUGAUUGCACCACUAUACUCUGGCCUGGGCAACAGAGUGAGACUCUCUAAAAAAUAAAAAAAAUAGCUAGAACACAGGGUUUGGCAGAAAAGGAUAUCUAAGGCUAUGCUUCAUAAAACUCCAACAGGUGCAGAACCCGGUUUCACACAUUUUCCAGACCUGCCCAUGUGGGGACCACAGCAAUGAGACACUGAUCAAUGUUUAACAAGUUCUCAGGUGGCUUCAGCCUGAGGUGGGGUGGGGGAUAAGGAGAGAACCUGAUGUGUAGCCUCUGCCAAUGUCUGUGGUGUAAAUUCUCCCAGCUUCAAGCUACCAACGUGAUGUCACUGAACUCAGACUUGGGAAGAGAUGUGUAGUCGCUCACUUAUGUAGCAUUUCCACCACAGAUAACUGUAGCAUCCGGCGGUGCUGGCUUUCACUGCAUGAGUAACCCCCAGGAGAAAACCACCCAGCUGAGCCCAUCCUGACUUUCUGACCUGCAAAAUUGUGAGCAAAAUAAGGGGAUGGUUCUAGACUGCUACAUUUUGUAGCAAUUUGAAGCACAGCACUAGUCACUAGUGGGGCCACUGAGUCCAGUGUGGGAUGAUGCUUAAAAGGGUGGAGGGGCCGAACCAGGCCAGAGCACCUUUCACCUACGCCUGACUGGGAGAAUCCAUGCCAGUCUGACGUGCUCCAGCCCUGCUAACAUCGUGAGAAAAAGCCAGUGACAAGGCUGACAGCCCUCUGGAAGGGUCUCUCAUGGGCCUCAGUGGCCACUGCUCCUGGGACAGAAAGCCCCCACAGGGCUUUAGCAGGAGCCAGGGGGAUUUGUGGGCAAGUUGCCCACCUCCGUGCCAUGCUGACUCCUGCCACACUAAAUACCCGCCCAGCCCCACACCGCCUCAGACACAGGGUGAAGAGGCCAGGACAGGGCUGGCCAGGGGCCCUGGUUUAAAAUAGCAGCACCAGUCCUUUGUUUUGUCUGCAAUGCAGCUCUGCCGGUCUAGCUCCUGCUUUGAUGUUGGUAUUUAAGCCUCUUCUGGGAACCUGAACCUUCCCCAAGCACAUCAGAAACCCACACUCGGGCACAUACAUACAUGCAUGCACACACUUGCAUGCUCACCUGCUCCCCUGAGAAGCCAGAGGAGGUAGCCUCAGGCUCCAG